rnacentral:rRNA from 1 species
CACGGGGGGAGCAAGCGUUGUUCGGAUUCAUUGGGCGUAAAGGGCUCGUAGGUGGCUUUGUAAGUCGGAGGUGAAAUCCCACGGCUCAACCGUGGACACGCCUUCGAAACUGUGAAGCUUGAGGCUGGGAGAGGAGAUCGGAAUUCCUGGUGUAGCGGUGAAAUGCGUAGAUAUCUGGAGGAACACCGGUGGCGAAGGCGGCAUCCUGGACCGGUAUUGACGCUGAUGCGCGAAAGCCAGGGGAGCAAACGGG